GAGUUUCCUACUUCAUCUUUUUCAUUCUCUGUCGACUCCGCUUCCCGAAAGUUCCUUUUUUACUCGAUCUGUUCGACUCCUCCGCGUUCUCCACUGACGAUGUGAUUCCUCUUCCUGUAAUAUGUGUUCUAUAUUCAAGAUGAGUGGGCUUCAACCUGAAGUUGAGAUAUAUCUACGUUCUCUGUAACCGAAUAUUCAAAUUCAAAGCGAUCAUAUUGCCCAGCAGAGAUAUUGCCCACUGAUUUUUUAAUCUUCUUCUUCCUCCCACGGGUGUACUCUCUUUCUCUGUUGUUUCGUGUAGAUCUUUAGCGGUGGUGAUGGCGAGGCUGUCGCAGAGAUUAUUACUGCGAGGAAAUGGUCGACAUUGAUGUUGGUUCAUGGUGACGAUCUUUCUCUUGAUGCUUUUGGAUUUUGGGGUUUUCUCUCUUCUGAUUAAUAACAACGACGAAUCUUCUCCUAUGGAUCUCUCUUAUUUCCGACGAGCUGCGACUGAGAGAGGUGAGGAGGGACUUGGGAAGAGAGGAGAUCAGUGGACUGAAGUGCUCUCUUGGGAACCUAGAGCUUUCGUCUGCCACAACUUCUUGAUUCAUCCAGCAGAAGCUAGGAGGUCCUUCAGUUUCUGAUUACAAGAAGCUUCAUUCUGAGAAGUCUGAUUUUCAAAUAAAGUACAAUGAGGUUUUCGCUAAACAUCAAGGAACGUUGAGAGAGAAUUUCUAUAUGAUUGGUUGGAAUGGUAAUGGAGUGUACAGAGUACUAAAGAUAGAGCGGCUUGAUGCGUCGGAGCUUAACCUCAGUGAGGAUUCCACAUGCCAAAAAAGAAUGCUACGAGCUGAAUAAACGGAUACACGAAGGAAGCAAGGUGACAUGCGGCCUCAAACUUGUCACUCUCUGUUAUGGCAUAAUUGAAGAGAGAUAUGCGAAUUUGUGGUCACAGGGUGUAUGAAGUGUCCAAGAAUGAGAUCAUUUCUGUGCGAAAUUCUAGCGUACUUUGCAACUUGGCAAACUCGAGAGACAAGAACAGGGACAAGAGGCUCAUGUAGUCCUGUGUAUGGUGGACCUUACGAAAGGCUUCUUUAUGAUGCGUAGUUUCUAGAAGAAUAUAUGUGAACAUAAGAGUGGUAGUGCUCUCUGUAAGAAAAUGUUUGUGUGAAACGAGUUAUUGUUCUUAUUA